GAGAGACCCCCUUUCUUCACCGAUCUCACAACAUUUCUGCAGCAGAAAAUCUUUUUCAGCAUCAUCAGCCAGACAAAAUGAGCGACCCCAACCCAAUGCAUCCCGAAGAACUCGGUGAACACAGCGGCCAUGGGCACGGACAUGCACAUGGUAAAGGAGAAGGCCAUGGACAUGGCCAUGGACAUGGCCAUGGACACGGCCAUGGACACGGCCAUGGCCACGGACACGGACACGGACACGGACAUGGCAAAAAUUGAAAAAACUCAUCGACAUGAUGCAAGUGGAGAAAUCACGCAUUAAGUCAAUAAUUUGGAAUCAAAUAUGUAAUCAAAACAAAUUUCUUCUUCAAUAAAAGCAUCUAAAAAGCAAGAA